rnacentral:rRNA from 1 species
CAAUAGCGUAUAUUAAAGUUGUUGCAGUUAGAACGCUCGUAGUCGGAUUUCGGGGCGGGUCGACCGGUCUGCCGAUGGGUACGCACUGGCCGACGCGUCCUUCCUUCCGGAGACCGUCUCACUCUUAACUGAGCGGAGGCGGGAGACAGAACGUUUACUUUGAAAAAAUCAGAGUGUUUCAAGCAGGCAGCUCGCUCUUGCAUGGAUUAGCAUGGGAUAAUGAAAUAGGACUUUGGUGCUAUUUUGUUGGUUUCGAACACCGAAGUAAUGAUGAGAAGGGACAGUCAGGGGCACUCGUAUUCCGCCGAGAGAGGUGAAAUUCUCAGACCAGCGGAAGACGAACCACUGCGAAAGCAUUUGCCAGGGAUGUUUUCACUGA